rnacentral:tRNA from 1 species
GAGGGUAUAGCUCAGUGGUAGAGUGUGUGCUUAGCAUGCACAAGGUCUUGGGUUCAAUCCCCAGUACCUCCA